GAUGAACGCUGGCGGCGUGCCUAAUACAUGCAAGUCGAGCGAACAGACGAGGAGCUUGCUCCUCUGACGUUAGCGGCGGACGGGUGAGUAACACGUGGAUAACCUACCUAUAAGACUGGGAUAACUUCGGGAAACCGGAGCUAAUACCGGAUAAUAUAUUGAACCGCAUGGUUCAAUAGUGAAAGACGGUUUUGCUGUCACUUAUAGAUGGAUCCGCGCCGCAUUAGCUAGUUGGUAAGGUAACGGCUUACCAAGGCGACGCUGAGUAGCCGACCUGAGAGGGUGAACGGCCACACUGGAACUGAGACACGGUCCAGACUCCUACGGGAGGCAGCAGUAGGGAAUCUUCCGCAAUGGGCGAAAGCCUGACGGAGCAACGCCGCGUGAGUGCUGAAGGUCUUCGGAUCGUAAAACUCUGUUAUUAGGGAAGAACAAAUGUGUAAGUAACUAUGCACGUCUUGACGGUACCUAAUCAGAAAGCCACGGCUAACUACGUG
rnacentral:rRNA from 1 species